UGUGAACAAAACUAUAAUACUCUCUUUAGCAACUUUGUUGCGAGAGUAUAAAAACAGUAGGUGUCAUGAAUUCAGAUAUUAUUGGUUUGAUAUUCGAAACAGAAUUUGAAUGGGUUUUGGGCGUCACGGAAACAAAUUUUAUCGGUUUUCUUGGCAGAAACAAAUCAA